GCAUGGAUAGCUUAGCACGGACAUAGCAGAAGCCUACUAAGCUUCAGAUCGCGGGUUCAAAUCCCGCUCCAUGCACCA
rnacentral:tRNA from 1 species